GGUGGGUUGCCCGAGCGGCCUAAGGGAACGGUCUUGAAAACCGUAGGGACGUGAAAGCGUUCCCGUGGGUUCGAAUCCCACCGCCUCCG
rnacentral:tRNA from 1 species